UACGUAGGUGGCAAGCGUUGUCCGGAUUUACUGGGCGUAAAGAGCGCGCAGGCGGUCGUUCAAGUCGCGUGUGAAAGCCCCCGGCUCAACUGGGGAGGGUCACGCGAUACUGAUCGACUCGAAGGCAGGAGAGGGAAGUGGAAUUCCUGGUGUAGCGGUGAAAUGCGCAGAUAUCAGGAGGAACACCAAUAGCGAAGGCAGCUCGCUGGGACGGUAUUGACGCUAAGGCGCGAAAGCGUGGGGAGCAAACAGGG
rnacentral:rRNA from 1 species